rnacentral:rRNA from 1 species
GACGAACCGUCCAAACGUUAUUCGGAAUCACUGGGCUUACAGAGUUCGUAGGCGGUCUGGAAAGUUGGGUGUGAAAUCCCUCGGCCUAACCGAGGAACUGCGCCUGAAACUACCAGACUCGAGGGAGAUAGAGGAAAGCGGAACUGAUGGUGGAGCGGUGAAAUGCGUUGAUAUCAUCAGGAACACCGGUGGCGAAGGCGGCUUUCUGGGUCUUACCUGACGCUGAGGAACGAAAGCCAGGGGAGCGAACGGG